UGCUGUGAUGCCGUAAUUUGCGCCUUACUCUGCACUCAGCGACAGUUGCCUGCUGUCACAAGGCUGUUGCAGAAGGCUGAUGACCAACUAACUCUGAGCA
ensembl:snoRNA SNORD16 Small nucleolar RNA SNORD16